AUUGAACGCUGGCGGCAUGCCUAAAACAUGCACGUCGAACGAGUUGCGGACGGGUGAGUCAUGUCUGGGAAACUGCCUGACGGAGGGGGAUAACUACUGGAAACGGUAGCUAAUACCGCAUACCAUCGGAUGUGCCCAGAUGGGAUUCGCUAGUAGGUGGGGUAACGUCCCACCUAGGCGACGAUCCCUAGCUGGUCUGAGAGGAUGACCAGCCACACUGGAACUGAUACACGGUCCAGACUCCUACGGGAGGCAGCAGUGGGGAAUAUUGCACAAGGGGCGCAAGCCUGAUGCAGCAAUGCGGCGUGUAUGAAGAAGGCCUUCGGGGUGUAAAGUACUUUCAGCGGGGAGGCGUUACCCGCAGAAGAAGCACAGGCUAACUCCGUGCCAGCCGCCGCGGUAAUUC
rnacentral:rRNA from 1 species